rnacentral:rRNA from 1 species
AGAGUUUGAUUCCUGGCUCAGGAUGAACGCUAGCGGCAGGCUUAACACAUGCAAGUCGAGGGGUAUAGUUCUUCGGAGCUAGAGACCGGCGCACGGGUGCGUAACGCGUAUGCAAUCUACCUUUCACAGAGGGAUAGCCCAGAGAAAUUUGGAUUAAUACCUCAUAGUAUUAUGAAAUGGCAUCAUUUUAUAAUUAAAGUCACAACGGUGAAAGAUGAGCAUGCGUCCCAUUAGCUAGUUGGUAAGGUAACGGCUUACCAAGGCUACGAUGGGUAGGGGUCCUGAGAGGGAGAUCCCCCACACUGGUACUGAGACACGGACCAGACUCCUACGGGAGGCAGCAGUGAGGAAUAUUGGUCAAUGGGCGCAAGCCUGAACCAGCCAUGCCGCGUGCAGGAUGACGGUCCUAUGGAUUGUAAACUGCUUUUGCACAGGAAGAAACAACAUUACGUGUAAUGUCUUGACGGUACUGUGAGAAUAAGGAUCGGCUAACUCCGUGCCAGCAGCCGCGGUAAUACGGAGGAUCCAAGCGUUAUCCGGAAUCAUUGGGUUUAAAGGGUCCGUAGGCGGUUUAGUAAGUCAGUGGUGAAAGCCCAUCGCUCAACGGUGGAACGGCCAUUGAUACUGCUAGACUUGAAUUAUU